GAAACCGGGGCUAAUACCGCAUAAAGCCUAAUGCUGGGAUGCAUAAGGCCAAAGUGGCAACACACCUGGGGAUGGGCCUGCGGCCUAUCAGGUAGUUGGUGGGGUAAUGGCCCACCAAGCCCGAGACGGGUAGCCGGUCUGAGAGGAUGAACGGCCACACUGGAACUGAGAUACGGUCCAGACUCCUACGGGAGGCAGCAGUGGGGAAUUUUGCGCAAUGGGGGAAACCCUGACGCAGCGACGCCGCGUGGAGGAUGAAGGCCUUCGGGUUGUAAACUCCUUUUCUGGGGGAAGAUGAUGACGGUACCCCAGGAAUAAGCCACGGCUAACUCUGUGCCAGCAGCCGCGGUAAGACAGAGGUGGCAAGCGUUGUUCGGAAUUACUGGGCUUAAGGGCGCGUANGCGGCAAAGUAAGUCUGGGGUGGAAUCUCAGGGCUCAACCCUGAAAUUGCCUUGGAAACUGCAUUGCUUGAGUCAGUGAAGGGGAGGGCGGAAUUCCUGG
rnacentral:rRNA from 1 species